rnacentral:lncRNA from 1 species
GGUCGGACUCGCACGCGCGGGCCCCGCGCUGGUACAGGGCUGCAGGUUUCCCAGAUGAUGGCAUCCGAGAACUUAAACAAAGAGGGUCGCCGCCGGCGCGCCGCGGCUGCACAAAGUUGCAGUGGCGGAUUUCCAAGAAGCUUGGCCACAGGAGCUCUGCGCGAGGCAAGCCUUCCUUUCCCACCUCCUGCAGGACGGAGAUGGGGGCCCGCGCGUGAAGGAAAGAGGAAACUUUGAAACCAGUGGGGACACAUCUGUCUAUAGAAUUGGAGAAAGGAAAUCUGCUUCGCAGACCUCAGACAAGGGCCACAAGAAUAUGUACACUGCAAAUGGUUAUAUUAUACAUCACCUGACAACCUCACAUCAGAUAAAGGGGUCCUCGCUCCGCACAGCAAGGAAGAAAAAAAAUAUUCAUCAGUAAAGGAAGAAGCCUGCACAGAACCGUUUCUUCUCAUUCCUUAUAUGUACAAACAUGAAUAAUUUGACAUGAUGUUUAGACAGUUUUCACCUAACUUAAGUCUUUUAAUUAAAAUGAAAGGCAGAAAAUAUGCUUUAAAUAUGAAUGCGAGAGGUGUGAGUUGGCAUCCCCCAGCCUUCCUCCUCCUCUCUCUCUGUUGUUAGCGAGCACAAUGAAAUCUCAUUGCUCCCACCGUCUUUUCAU